rnacentral:rRNA from 1 species
GACGAACGCUGGCGGCGUGCUUAACACAUGCAAGUCGAACGGAAAGGCCUGCUUUCCCUUGUGGAUUGCGGGUACUCGAGUGGCGAACGGGUGAGUAACACGUGAGUGAUCUGCCCCCAACUUGGGUAUAAGCCUGGGAAACUGGGUCUAAUUCCCGAUAGGACUGCAGGGUGGUGCCUGUGGUGGAAAACGAUUUUCUAGUGGUUGGGGAUGAGCUCGCGGCCUAUCAGCUUGUUGGUGGGGUAAUGGCCUACCAAGGCGGCGACGGGUAGCCGGCCUGAGAGGGUGGACGGCCACAGUGGGACUGGGGUACGGCCCAGACUCCUACGGGAGGCAGCAGUGGGGAAUAUUGCACAAUGGGCGGAAGCCUGAUGCAGCGACGCCGCGUGGGGGAUGACGGCCUUCGGGUUGUAAACUCCUUUCGACCGCGAGGAAGCCACCUGGUUGGAAGGGUGGUGACGGUAGUGGUAGAAGAAGCACCGGCUAACUACGUG